rnacentral:rRNA from 1 species
GAUGAACGCUGGCGGCGUGCCUAAUACAUGCAAGUCGAGCGAACGGACGAGAAGCUUGCUUCUCUGAUGUUAGCGGCGGACGGGUAAGUAACACGUGGAUAACCUACCUAUAAGACUGGGAUAACUUCGGGAAACCGGAGCUAAUACCGGAUAAUAUUUUGAACCGCAUGGUUCAAAAGUGAAAGACGGUCUUGCUGUCACUUAUAGAUGGAUCCGCGCUGCAUUAGCUAGUUGGUAAGGUAACGGCUUACCAAGGCAACGAUGCAUAGCCGACCUGAGAGGGUGAUCGGCCACACUGGAACUGAGACACGGUCCAGACUCCUACGGGAGGCAGCAGUAGGGAAUCUUUCGCAAUGGGCGAAAGCCUGACGGAGCAACGCCGCGUGAGUGAUGAAGGUCUUCGGAUCGUAAAACUCUGUUAUUAGGGAAGAACAUAUGUGUAAGUAACUGUGCACAUCUUGACGGUACCUAAUCAGAAAGCCACGGCUAACUACGUG